rnacentral:rRNA from 1 species
UACGGAGGGUGCAAGCGUUAUCCGGAUUCACUGGGUUUAAAGGGUGCGUAGGCGGGCAUUUAAGUCAGUGGUGAAAUACCUGAGCUUAACUUGGGAACUGCCAUUGAUACUAUUUGUCUUGAAUGUCGUGGAGGUUAGCGGAAUAAGUCAUGUAGCGGUGAAAUGCAUAGAUAUGACUUAGAACACCAAUUGCGAAGGCAGCUUGCUAAACAAACAUUGACGCUGAGGCACGAAAGCGUGGGGAUCAAACAGG